GAGUUUGAUCGUGGCUCAGGACGAACGCUGGCGGCGUGCCUAAUACAUGCAAGUCGAGCGAGCUUGCCUAGAUGAUGUUAGUGCUUGCACUAAAUGAAACUAGAUACAAGCGAGCGGCGGACGGGUGAGUAACACGUGGGUAACCUGCCCAAGAGACUGGGAUAACACCUGGAAACAGAUGCUAAUACCGGAUAACAACACUAGACGCAUGUCUAGAGUUUGAAAGAUGGUUCUGCUAUCACUCUUGGAUGGACCUGCGGUGCAUUAGCUAGUUGGUAAGGUAACGGCUUACCAAGGCAAUGAUGCAUAGCCGAGUUGAGAGACUGAUCGGCCACAUUGGGACUGAGACACGGCCCAGACUCCUACGGGAGGCAGCAGUGGGGAAUAUUGCACAAGGGGGGAAACCCUGAUGCAGCGACGCCGCGUGGAGGAAGAAGGUC
rnacentral:rRNA from 1 species